UUUAAAUGUAAAUUAAAUAUACUAAAGUAGUAUUAGUUAUGUUCUUGAAAUUUAAAGAUUUUGGCGGUAUUUUAGUCUAUUUAGAGGAGCCUGUUCUGUAAUUGAUAAUCCACGAUUAAUUUUACUUGAUUUAUAUAAGUUUGUAUACCGUCGUUAUAAGAAGAUUUUAAAAGAAUUUAAAUUUUUAAUAUUUUAUAUAAAAAAAUAUAUCAGAUCAAGGUGCAGUUUAUAAUUAAGGAGAAAUGUGCUACAAUAAAUUUAUUUAUUUAAACGGAUUAAAGUAAGAAUUUGACUUUGUGAAGGUGGAUUUAAUAGUAAUAAGAUUAAUUUAAAUUUUAUGAUUUUAGCUCUAAAAUAUGU
rnacentral:rRNA from 1 species